rnacentral:rRNA from 1 species
UACGUAGGGUGCAAGCGUUGUCCGGAAUUAUUGGGCGUAAAGAGCUCGUAGGCGGUUUGUCGCGUCGGCUGUGAAAGCCCGGAGCUCAACUCCGGGUCUGCAGUCGAUACGGGCAGACUUGAGUGUUGCAGGGGAGACUGGAAUUCCUGGUGUAGCGGUGAAAUGCGCAGAUAUCAGGAGGAACACCGAUGGCGAAGGCAGUUCUCUGGGCCGUAACUGACGCUGAGGAGCGAAAGCGUGGGGAGCGAACAGG